AUUCUGUGGGUCUGCAGCACUGAGAGCUGCGUUGAUCAUCCAGAACUGGUACCGAGGUUACAAAGCUCGACUGAAGGCCAGACAACACUAUGCCCUCACCAUCUUCCAGUCCAUCGAAUAUGCUGAUGAACAAGGCCAAAUGCAGUUAUCCACCUUCUUUUCCUUCAUGUUGGAAAACUACACACAUAUACAUAAGGAAGAGCUAGAAUUAAGAAAUCAAUCUCUUGAAAGCGAACAGGACAUGAGGGAUAGAUGGGAUUAUGUGGACUCGAUAGAUGUCCCAGACUCCUAUAAUGGUCCUCGGCUACAAUUUCCUCUCACUUGUACGGAUAUUGAUUUACUUCUUGAGGCCUUUAAGGAACAACAGAUACUUCAUGCCCAUUAUGUCUUAGAGGUGCUGUUUGAAACCAAGAAAGUCCUGAAGCAAAUGCCGAAUUUCACUCACAUACAAACUUCUCCCUCCAAAGAGGUAACAAUCUGUGGUGAUUUGCAUGGGAAACUGGAUGAUCUUUUUUUGAUCUUCUACAAGAAUGGUCUCCCCUCAGAGAGGAACCCGUAUGUUUUUAAUGGUGACUUUGUAGAUCGAGGAAAGAAUUCCAUAGAGAUCCUAAUGAUCCUGUGUGUGAGUUUUCUUGUCUACCCCAAUGACCUGCACUUGAACAGAGGGAACCAUGAAGAUUUUAUGAUGAAUCUGAGGUAUGGCUUCACGAAAGAAAUUUUGCAUAAAUAUAAGCUACAUGGAAAAAGAAUCUUACAAAUCUUGGAAGAAUUCUAUGCCUGGCUCCCAAUCGGUACAAUCGUUGACAAUGAAAUCCUGGUCAUCCAUGGUGGGAUAUCAGAGACCACAGAUUUGAAUUUACUCCACCGUGUAGAGAGGAACAAGAUGAAAUCUGUGCUGAUACCACCAACGGAAACAAACAGAGACCAUGACACUGACUCGAAGCACAAUAAAGUAGGUGUGACUUUUAAUGCACAUGGAAGAAUCAAAACAAAUGGGUCUCCUACUGAACACUUAACAAAGCAUGAAUGGGAACAGAUUAUUGAUAUUCUGUGGAGUGAUCCCAGAGGCAAAAAUGGCUGUUUUCCAAAUACGUGCCGAGGAGGGGGCUGCUAUUUUGGACCAGAUGUUACUUCCAAGAUUCUUAAUAAAUACCAGUUGAAGAUGCUCAUCAGGUCUCAUGAAUGUAAGCCCGAAGGGUAUGAAAUCUGUCAUGAUGGGAAGGUUGUGACUAUAUUUUCUGCUUCUAAUUAUUAUGAAGAAGGCAGCAAUCGAGGAGCUUACAUCAAACUAUGUUCUGGUACAACUCCUCGAUUUUUCCAGUACCAAGUAACUAAAGCAACGUGCUUUCAGCCUCUUCGCCAAAGAGUGGAUACUAUGGAAAACAGCGCCAUCAAGAUAUUAAGAGAGAGAGUGAUUUCACGAAAAAGUGACCUUACUCGUGCUUUCCAACUUCAAGACCAUAGAAAAUCAGGAAAACUUUCUGUGAGCCAGUGGGCUUUUUGCAUGGAGAACAUUUUGGGGCUGAACUUACCAUGGAGAUCCCUCAGUUCGAAUCUGGUAAACAUAGACCAAAAUGGAAACGUUGAAUACAUGUCCAGCUUCCAGAAUAUCCGCAUUGAAAAACCUGUACAAGAGGCUCAUUCUACUCUAGUUGAAACUCUGUACAGAUACAGAUCUGACCUGGAAAUCAUAUUUAAUGCCAUUGACACUGAUCACUCAGGCCUGAUCUCCAUGGAAGAAUUUCGUGCCAUGUGGAAACUUUUUAGUUCUCACUACAAUGUUCAUAUUGAUGAUUCCCAAGUCAAUAAGCUUGCCAACAUAAUGGACUUGAACAAAGAUGGAAGCAUUGACUUUAAUGAGUUUUUAAAGGCUUUCUAUGUAGUGCAUAGAUAUGAAGACUUGAUGAAACCUGAUGUCCCCAACCUUGGCUAAACACAAAUGAGAGCUUCCCUCAGGCUCCCUGAAACAGCUAGGCCCAAAUCACAAGUACAGUCCUUUCCAACACCCCUGAAAUUCAUAGUCAGUAGCAGAGAAAAGCAGAUCCCAAUUCAUCCCACAAACAGAUGCAUAGUAUGGGUUUUGGAAGUCCCUAGCAAGCUGUUAUU
rnacentral:sRNA from 1 species